UACGGGGGGGGCAAGCGUUGUUCGGAAUUACUGGGCGUAAAGGGCUCGUAGGCGGCCAACUAAGUCAGACGUGAAAUCCCUCGGCUUAACCGGGGAACUGCGUCUGAUACUGGAUGGCUUGAGUUCGGGAGAGGGAUGCGGAAUUCCAGGUGUAGCGGUGAAAUGCGUAGAUAUCAGGAAGAACACCCGUGGCGAAGGCGGCUCUCUGGGACGGUACUGACGCUGAGACGCGAAAGCGUGGGGAGCGAACAGG
rnacentral:rRNA from 1 species